rnacentral:tRNA from 1 species
UACAAGAUGGUCGAAAAUAAACAUUAAACUGUAAAUUUAAAAAUGGGCGCAGCCCUCUUGUAU